CCUACGGGUGGCAGCAGUGAGGAAUAUUGGUCAAUGGGCGGGAGCCUGAACCAGCCAAGCCGCGUGAGGGAAGAAGGUACAGCGUAUCGUAAACCUCUUUUGUCAGGGAACAAAGUCGGGGACUCGUCCCCGGAUGAGGGUACCUUAAGAAAAAGCAUCGGCUAACUCCGUGCCAGCAGCCGCGGUAAUACGGAGGAUGCGAGCGUUAUCCGGAUUUAUUGGGUUUAAAGGGUGCGCAGGCGGUCUGUUAAGUCAGCGGUCAAAGCCCGGGGCUCAACCCCGGCCCGCCGUCGAAACUGGCAGUCUCGAGUUGGAGAGAAGUAUGCGGAAUGCGCGGUGUAGCGGUGAAAUGCAUAGAUAUCGCGCAGAACUCCGAUUGCGAAGGCAGCAUGCCGGAUCCACACUGACGCUGAGGCACGAAAGCGUGGGUAUCGAACAGGAUUAGAUACCCUAGUAGUC
rnacentral:rRNA from 1 species